CACAUGUCCCAGAGCAGGGGCUUGCAGCCCUACCAGAAACGUGCUUUUUGAGUCAGCCUACUUCGUUAGAGAGCGUGCGCAGAUGAGAACUAUAGGUACCAGCAACCAUAUGACAUGCUUUAUGAAGCAGUGGCUUUGGCAUACAGCGCAAGUACGGGUACUGAAGAUUGAACCUAGGACCUCUGCACCAAGCAGAGACAGUGCUUGGCCCAUGGAGGGCAAUGAAGAAAUUGGAACCAUCUGGAAUCGUCUUUAAAUCUCCAGAGGAGAGAGAUCUGAGGGCAGCCUCCUUUCCAUCUGUUUGUCUGUUUUAUCAGACUGCAUAGGGAAGAGAGUGGCCGACAGGGAUUUGGGCAUUACCAGGACUUCUGACCAGAAUACCACCUAGUAUGUCUCUGGGCCCCAGGCUUCUAUACCUGGGAGUCCACCUGGCAGCCCAUGGUUGUGUCCCUCCCACCUGGGACAGGAUCCAUCAGCCAGGUGUGCCCCCUCACCUGUGGGAUUCUUUGCCAACUUCUCUCUAGGAGGUGCUGGGCUCAGAGUUGUAAAAUCCCUUUUGUUUCCUUCUGGAUCUUAGUGAGGGCCAGAAGGUAGGAAACUGUGCCUAGAACUGUCCUUUCUGAAGACCAGUAGCAUCCUAAAGGGAGAUGGAAUAUCAAAGUAGCUAAGUGGAGGGCCAUCCUCUGAACAGCAUAGAGAGACAGAGAGGUGGCCAAAGUUGCUCCCUGGGCCAAGGACUUAUUGAAUAGUCAGGUGUCCUUUGAGGCCACCUGAGCAGUGCACUCCAUCAGCAACCCAGAUGUGUGUGUGUGUGUGUGUGUGUGUGUGUGUGUAUGCGUGUGUGUUUGUAUGUGAAAAGGACUGGCCACAGACAAGAUCUCCAUAAAUACUACAGAUCAGAUUUUCACCUCUCUCACGGUAGGAAAUUCCUGCUACGAACAGCAUUAAAAGUUUAUUUACUUACACAUGUAAUUGUUUACAUAGUUAAUAAUUUGGUUUAAAAAAUUCAGCUCCUGGCACAAGUGCAUGUUUAAAACAUUUGAACCCCACAACUGCAAAUAAACCACCCAUUGCACAGUGGGUCUUUCAGGCCCCUUGGUGUGCAGCUGAGGCUGGGCAGAAACCGUUCCAACACCAACACAGCCUGAGUUCUGGCCCAGGAUGAUGCAGCCUCUUGCUUUCCACACAUGUUUAUGGGGAGCUGGGCACUAGGCAAGUCCCCAUGUGGAGGGCAUUGGCUCCACUGCCGCUGCUGUCCCAGAGACGCGGAGAUCAGAGUGAGCCAUUUCCAGGCAGGAGCCGGGGGCAGGUGGCCCUUUCUCCAGGGCCGUUAGUGUGUGUCCUGCACAGCCCCAUCCCGACUUGACCUUUUGGCCAGGACUGAAUUGCAGUGCCGUCCAGUGCAGUGCAUUGCUCCCUAUGCCCCUCCUCAGCAGGGCUGCCCAGGCACACUUACCACCUGUCUCCCAUUCCUCCUUCACUGUGCUUUCCCUCCUGCCCCGCAGAUGGAUCUUUUUAGUCCCUAAGGUCUGGGCUCUAGGGCCAUCUGCUCAGGGUGGUCUUUCCACCCACACUAGCCACCCAGGGUCUCACCAGGACUCCCAGUGACUGCACCCCCUCCCCAGCCUCGUUUACUCCCUUCAGAGCCCUGGGCAUUGGCCAGAGUCUGAAAUGAGCACGUUGCUUCUCGGAAUACUUGUUUACUGCCUUGUUACCCUGAGACAGCAGAGCCCUCCUCUGUCUGCAUCACCCUCAGAUCCUGCCUUUAGAGAAGAACCUGACUCACUGUGAUUAUCCAAAGCUGUUUAUUAGCAGAGGACUAAUCUCCAUUAUGUCUCACCCUGACUGGGAUGAGCAUUGCUUCAUCAACAGCGUGUGCAGAGCCUGUGAGCGGUUUAACUGGGUGGACAGCAUAGCAAGGAGGGGUGUCUGUGGGGCACCUAAUUUUUACACAAAAUUUGCUGUCUGUACAUUUUCCCAGGCUGAGUCCAAAGUGGGCUUCUUAUUCCCAAAGGGCUCUGGGAGCCUGCCUCCACAAAUGAAGGACACUCUGAUGGAGUCCGGUGGUCCCAGAAAUCUGGGCCUACAGUGCGGUGGGGGUAAUGGAAGGAAAGCAGAGGGCAACCUUGGUGUUUCUGGGAAUUCUCAGCAUCAGUGUCUCCGACAGCGUGAGAUUCCUGGGAGUUUCACCAGGGACCCUCACCGUGUGUGCGUGUGUGCGUGUGUGUGUGCGUGCGUGUGUGUGUGUGUGUAGGGAAGAGGCUGGUAGCUGUGGGAAACAGACAACACUGAGGUUUCACUUAAAAUUCACUUAGGAAACACCUUUCACUGCUUUGGAGAGAGGAAGAGGAAGGAUGAAAACUCUUCAUACAACUACACACACUGACCACAAUGUGGUAAAAGCUCCGUAAGCCCAUUGGAAUUUGAAAUGUCUGAAUUUGAAAAUGUAUCUCAUAUACCUCCUCUACCAAACACCCUAACUUAACCUAGCGUCCCUUAAAUGUGCUCAGGACAUGAGUUGGUCAGAGUCAGGUAACACAAAGCCUGUUUUGUUAUAAAGUGUUAAAUAUCUCCAUGUAAUUCAUUGAGUGUCUGUAUCCCCAAGUGCUGAGAACACAGCACACUGUCAAGUGCCAUUUGUCUCCUCUUGUGAUCAUGAGGCUGCCUGGGAACUGCGGUUCCCAUCUCUCCUCAGCAUCUCCAGAGCCAAGCACACCGCUUAUCCUCUACUAACAGGAAAUGAUCCAAAUUCAAAAUUUCAAAUAGUUUCUCCUGAAUGCAUACAAUUUGUGUCAUUGUGAAGUUGAACUAUCUUAAUCAAACCAUAGAAGUUGCGGAGUAUCUGUACUUAAACCUCAGCUCAAUUUAUUUGGAGAGAAAUUAAAGAAGACUGUUUUCCUGAAUAUUUAUUUUAUCUCAGCUAUUCCAGAGGCUGGAGAAGCAGAGCCUGAGUUUGUUCUUGUGGUGCAGAAGCCUCAGUCUGCUCUGAGAGUGCAGGGAGACCUUAGAGAUAAGCUUACUUCAGACCCUGGAAAGCAGCCUUCAGUGAACCACAAGUACCAGGUUCUAGGGCAUCUCUGCCCCAUGCCAGCUCAGGAUGGAGUGGGGCUGAAAGAUCCAGGAGAAGGAAGGAGCAAGGACAAGCCACCAAAGCAUCUGCCCACAGUGCAACUCCAGGCAUUGGCUGCCAUGGGUAAGGAGCCACCUGCCACCUGUAGGUGACGAGGCGAUGUGUUCCCCCAGUUGUGGUUCACUACAAGUCUUUGCUGCCAUUCCUGGCAGGUCACACCACUCCAUAAGACCAGCUGACAUCGUCUCUGAGGGAAUGAGUAACCCAUGAGGCCAUAGAGAGAAAGGUGCAGGAAGAGGCUUCAUGCCACAGAAAGCAAAAGUGGAGAAGAACUGCUAUGAGCAACCGGAGAGCAGGAUUGUAAUUUAUACCUGUACAAUUGUGUUGGACCUCUGGACAGCCAAUGAGCCCUCACUGGUGGUUUCCAUCUCUAGACGGGCAUAGUAGGUGCAGCAGCUCUGUGACCUGCUGGGCUCUUCUGUGUGGGUCCGUUACUGCUCCCCUCCCACCUGCCCACUGUGGACAGCCCAGGGCAGGGGCUGGUGUUGAAAAGGGGGCCAGUGAGGGUCCUGGCUCCCCCAGUUCCUCUGUUUGCUGCAGUCCUUAAUAGUGGGCAUCGUCCCACAGGAAUCCCAAAUCAGACCGGGCCCUUUGACUGGCGUUCUCAAACUAAACUGAGGCAAG
ensembl:lncRNA